ACGGCGGAUUCCGAAAAGCCGGAAAAGAGUAGGAG
rnacentral:ncRNA from 1 species